UGUGCUAACAUGAGCCGGGGGUGACACGCCGUUAAGCUAAACUCCAAUUUUAAUCAUAUCAUCCUACCUCCGCCCUUGACCUAUUUUCCCCCACAUUUGCAAAGGUUUUCUUCGCGUCUCUCUCGGAAAUUCACUCUCUCUCUUUAGAAAUCAUCCUUUCGCUCACUAAUGGCAGACAGGACUGAGUCUGAUUCCCGCCCUAACCAGAUCUCCAAAGGUCGUUUUCCCUCACAUUUGUUUACGCUUUUAAUAAACCGACUAAUUAAUCAAAAUAACUCGUUCUUAAGUUUUUUGGUUUUUUUUUUUUUUU
rnacentral:lncRNA from 1 species